GACGAACGCUGGCGGCGUGCUUAACACAUGCCAGUCGAACGGAAAGGCCCUGCUUUUGUGGGGUGCUCGAGUGGCGAACGGGUGAGUAACACGUGAGUAACCUGCCCUUGACUUUGGGAUAACUUCAGGAAACUGGGGCUAAUACCGGAUAGGAGCUCCUGCUGCAUGGUGGGGGUUGGAAAGUUUCGGCGGUUGGGGAUGGACUCGCGGCUUAUCAGCUUGUUGGUGGGGUAGUGGCUUACCAAGUCUUUGACGGGUAGCCGGCCUGAGAGGGUGACCGGCCACAUUGGGACUGAGAUACGGCCCAGACUCCUACGGGAGGCAGCAGUGGGGAAUAUUGCACAAUGGGCGGAAGCCUGAUGCAGCAACGCCGCGUGCGGGAUGACGGCCUUCGGGUUGUAAACCGCUUUCGCCUGUGACGAAGCGUGAGUGACGGUAAUGGGUAAAGAAGCACCGGCUAACUACGUG
rnacentral:rRNA from 1 species